rnacentral:tRNA from 1 species
GAGGGGAUAGUUCAGUGGUAGACUGUAUGCUUAGCAUGCACAAGGUCCUGGGUUCAAUCCCCAGUCCCUCCA